rnacentral:misc_RNA from 1 species
CUUUUAUCGGGGGGUUUGCUGCCAGCGCGUUUGGGCUCCCUGCUCAGUGCAUUGGCUUCAACCCUUUCUGAUUCUACCCAUGUUUUUUGCGUACUACUUGUUUCCUUGGUAGGCUUGCCUGCCGAUAGGACAAAAUAAAACCUCUUGUAAUUGAAGUCAGCGUCAGUAACCAUGUAAUAAAUUACAACUUUCAACAACGGAUCUCUUGGUUCU